UACAGAGGGGGGCAAGCGUUAUUCGGAAUUAUUGGGCGUAAAGGGCGCGUAGGCGGCUUGGCAAGUGGAAGGUGAAAUCCCUCGGCUUAACCGAGGAACUGCCCUCCAAACUGCUUGGCUUGAGACCGGGAGAGGUGAGUGGAAUUCCCAGUGUAGCGGUGAAAUGCGUAGAUAUUGGGAGGAACACCAGUGGCGAAGGCGGCUCACUGGACCGGUACUGACGCUGAUGCGCGAAAGCGUGGGGAGCAAACGGG
rnacentral:rRNA from 1 species